AAAUUGGUGCAUUAAAUUAAAAGGGUAAAUUUCAAAUACCAUUCAGAUGCUUUUAUACUUUCUCACUUUAAUAUUCUUGAUUUAAAAUGUAUCAAUUUAGUAUUUUAGAGUUUUAUUUUUAUUUUUUUAUUAUUAAUUUUAUUAUUUUUUUAUUAAAUCAGUGACAAAAUUAAAACUAAAGAGUACGAAAGUGAAUAUUCGAUAAACCUGGGUGGGGUAUCUGAAGUUUUUUUUAUAAAAUUUAACAAACUAUUAAUGAAAAAGUUAACGAAAAGAUUAAAAUAAAAUCACAGAACACUAAUCUGAUAUAUUUUAAACCACAAAGUACUAAAGUGAGAAGUGGAAAACUACCGGAGUUGUUUUUGAAGUUUAUCCUAAAUUAAACUAGCGUAGACUCCCGCAGAAUGCGAUGGAUAAAAAUUUACAAAAAAAAAAAAAAAAAAAAACUAUAAGAUGUGCAUAAAAAAAAUUACCAUUUACCAAUGCAAAAUUAUUUUUUUUUUAUCAUUUACCAAUUCAAAAACAAAAAAGAAGAGGAGAUGAAGUGAGAUUUAUAUAUAGUGAAAAAAUUAAUAUUAAUAUCUCAACUAAUAAAGAAUGACAAUUUUAUAAAUUUCAAGAGUUUAGAGAGCCAAACAAAAUAAUUAAAACUUUAGAGAGACUACAAAAAUUUCUCUCUAAAUUAAAUUUUUAUAAAAUAUUUUAAAAGGUUAUGAUAGCUUUCUACUUAAAUUAUCCUUGUAAAAUACAAAAAGUAUGUAAUUAAAAUUUUGAUUAUCAAAAACCUAUUCAAAGUUAAGUGUUUUUUUUAUCUAAUAAAAUUUUAUUUGUAAAAAUCAAUAAUUCAUAUGGAAGAAAAUUUACAAAUGAACAUAUUUAUAAAAAGCCAGUUAUAAAAUAGAGGGGCACUUUUUGAACUUAUUUUUUUAGGGAACUCUAAUAACUCUAUUUUUGCAGUGUUUCUCACUUUUUUUUAUUAGAUUUUAAAAUUCUUUUAAGUAUUUUUUAUUUUUACUUUGUAAAAUUGCUUUGAAAAAAUAUAAUAUAACAUGCACUAAAGAAUAUAGUAUAAAAAUAGAGUUUUUUUUUGUGCACUUACAUUUGUUUUUAUCCUUCUGUAGGAAUUAACCUAAAAAAAUCAAUAAUAAAUUAGAGAGAAAUAAUUUAAAAGUUAAAAUAAAUACUUUAUAAUUGAACUCAUAAGAUAAAAUUAGUAGAGAACAAAAAUCAAAAGAAAAAAAUAACAAUUGCUUUACUAAUUAACAAUAGAAACUGCUGAAUUAAAAGUAGAAAAUAAAAAAAAAAAAGAAAAUGCAGUUUGAGAGAGAAAGAGAAAGUAUUUAUUUUAACUUUUAAAUUACAGGAUUAAAAAAUUUUAGGAAUUAUGAGAUAAGAUGCAAUAAUUUUAAGAAGGUGAGAGAUCUCAUAAAUAAGAGUUAUUAAAUAAGGUGUAGCAUUAAAUUAAAUUAAAAAUUUGUUAGGAAGAAUUUAAUGAGAAAAGAUUUUGUAAUUUGAAAAGGCAUGUUAACUUUAUAAGAAAAAAAUAUGGUAAUUUAGUGAGUAAUUGCCAACCCAUUGAACUUCUAAAGUUAAUUUAUAAAUAAAAAAUAACUAAUUAGGAAGAAUUUAAUGAGAAAAGAUUCUAUAAUUUGAAAAGGCGUGAUAACUUUAUAAGAAAAAAUAUGGUAAUUUAGUGAGUAAUUGCCAACCCAUUGAACUUUCAAAAUUAAUUUAUAGAAGAUAAUUAUUAACCAUUUGAGGAGUUCAAUAGUCUUGUACAUUGUAAUUAUAAUACUAUAUUAAAUAGUAACUUUUGCUUAAGAAAUAUUAAUUAGAGAGAUAGUAGAUAGACCCCAAAAAAAAUUCAAGAAAAAUAAGGUUAGAAAAAAAAAAUCAAAAAAUUGAGGUUACGCCACGUCACCUCUUGAUAUUGGGGAUUAAUAGAGAGGUAUAGAUAGAUAGAUAAAUUAAAUUAAAAAUUAAUUAGGAAGAAUUUAAUGAGAAAAGAUUCUAUAAUUUGAAAAGGCAUGUUAACUUUACAAGAAAAUUUAUGAUAAUUUAGUGAGUAAUUGUCAACCCAUUGAACUUCCAAAAUUAAUUUAGUGACCAUUUGAGAAGUUCAAGUACAUUGAGGUUAUGCUACGUUACCUCUAGAUAUUGGGGAUUAAUAGAGAGUUAUAAGAUUAUUAUUAUAUAAUUUCUCGCAUUUCAGAUAAUUAGAUCUGGAACGGGCUAAAUUUCGGGCCAGAUCCACGUCUGAACCAAAUUGACCGGGUCGGACUUUUUUUAUUAAGUUUAUAAUAUGUAGAUUAAGAUUUGUCAAGUUGGUAACUUAUCUAAAUUUCAAUUUUGUUUUUCAAACCUUAAUUUAUUAUAAUUUUUUGCUCGAAUUUUCUAAAUUAUUGGUAUGAUACUAUUGUGGUUAACGACGUGAUAACAACUACAAUGUCAGAUCAAAUUUUACGAGGAACUCAAUUACAACAUUUCAAAAAGUUGAGCCAAGAAAUUACAACAAUUUAAAGUUUGAGAGCCCAAUGUGUAAUCUAGCAUUUAUCAUUCAAUGUUAAACAUCGCUGGAAACCCAACCCUUUCACUGAGAAGCACUAUAAAACUAAACAAUACAUUUGAAUUUACAAUGCAAGUUUGAAAGGCUUGGAACUAAACAAUUUAUCCAAAACAUUUUGUAAUACAAAGCAGUAUUGUGAAAAUGAACAACAAAGGACAAACUUUGGCAUAAGAGAAUCACUCUAUUGCCUAUUGCCCUAUUUUCGCGACCUCAACCAACUCAGAAGCCACAUUUCCUUUCGUGAAAAUAUCACCAAUUAUACGCCGAUCGGUCGAUGAUGAUGCAUACCAAGCUAUAGUUUCUCAACUCCUCCAAGCAGAAGAGAACUCCAAAUCAGUGUCCUCUUCCCACCAUGUAGCAUUCUGCAUUUAUCGAUACACAUUCUACAAUUUAAUGGCUAAAGAAGAAUGUAUAAAUUAAUAUGCACGGCGUGCUUCAGAGAAUUAUAGUGGUAUCAGUACAAAUUAAAGUUGUUAACCGAGUACUAGUCAUUACACAAAAAGGGGUUACUACAGUUGACUUGCAUCAUUAAGGGUAAAUUGCACGAGCAAUCCGAGAACCGACCUGAUAUUGCAACUUGGCCCUUGCAAUUUUCAUUUAAAUACAUUAGUAAUGGAAGUGGAAAAAUGGAAACUUUUAAUAGAGAAUUGCCAUUCAGGGACUAAAGUGCAAUAUAUAUGAAAGUCCAGGUCCUAAGGCGAUAUGAUACACUAAGCUGACUCUUAACUCUACAAACCAAGUUAAAUUGAUGAUACAAGACGCAAUAUGUUUAUCAUUCAACUCAAACAAGGAGAGAAAGAUUUAUGAGAAGUUUUGAACCUUGUAUCCCCUUCUGAGAAAUUCCAAUGAGCUCCCUCGUUCUUCUUGCAAUCCCAGAACCCUUAAAAGUUCUUCUUUAGUCUAAACAGGGGGAAAAAAAAAAAAUCAGUACAAGAACAUUAGAUUGGUUUAUAUGAUUCAAGUAAAUUAUUACCUCUCCCAAUGUAAAUCUAGCUGCGCUUUCUGCAACACAAGCAUAGGAACCAUCAGCCUGUUUAAGCAUGACUUGCCAAGGCCCUGCACAGUACAGUUAUAAAAUGAAUGUAUGUAUAUAUUAAUUUGUCAUUUAUUUGUUGAGGAAGUUGCAAGUCAUAGGAAAAUAAGAAAGCAUGCCUCAGAGAGAGAGAGAGAGAGAGAGAGAGAGAGAGAUUAAAAUUUUAACAAAAAAACCUCAUGAACUAAGUAUACUUAUGUAGUUUGAAAACUUCCCACGCCAUUUAAUUGAUGUAGACCAAUUCUUAAGAAGAAAAUUACGUCCUAGAAUAAUUGUUUGCAAAACCGAAGGUUCUGGUCAACACCGAGUUUGGAGUAGAUACAAUUACGUCCUAGUAUAAUUGUUUGCAAAACCCAAGGUUCUGGUCAACACUGAGUUUGGAGUAGAUACAUCACACGUUUACACCCAAGGACACAAUCAUUUGCUUUACUAUUUUAUAAGGAAAGCAAUAGAGUUUGGUGUCUAUCGAAGGACUAUUAUAAUAAAAUAUUUCAGGAAGAGAAAUUUAGAGACUAAAAUUAACCACGCAGAAGCACUUGCAUGAUAAUAAGGAGAUUAUACUGUAUGCUAUGCAUGUCAAGUUCUUACCUGGGAACCGACGGAAUAGAGCACCACUAUAGUUCACAAUGAAGGGUGCUACUGGAACUGUCUUAAACACAAGGAAAAUAAAGAUUUAAUUGACAUUAUGAUAAGAAUAAGUAAAUAAAAAAAAGCUAGAGAUACCUUGGAGUACUCUCUUGUUCGAAUGUAGAAUACAGGGAUAAACUGAGAAAGAAAGCGGUAAUGCAAAUCUUUGGUGGGAAAUCCUAGUAGGCCCAAGUCAGAGCUGCAAAAUUGAAUUUUUAUCCCCACAAUAAGGUCAGAAUCAUGAAAAUACGAAGCACAUUGUGACAAUUUGGUCAGGAAGAAUAAAUAAGACAAACCGUAAGGUGUCUAGUUCGAGGUUAAAAAGAAGAGCUGGGACAGAUGAAGCAAAAUUGUCCUGCACAAGAAAAGGCCAACAAAAAUUGCUUUAGUAACAGAAAUUAAAUUUUUAAAGAACAGAAUUACAAGAACAUUAACUAAUCUUUCUAUGCCCAAGAAAAUACUCCCUCAGAAGUACCUUUCUCUUCUCUCUCUCGUUUUUUUUUUCUUUUUUUUUUUGGUNGGGGGGGGCGGGGUUGGGGGUUGGCGGGGGGAAUCAACUACCCUUAGCGGAUACAAAGAUUUCAGACGCGCUGCUUAACUGUAGUUGUGUUAAAAGAGACCGAAGCAACUAUUUUUAAGGAUCCUUUUGUCCACAAACAUGAAUUUUCAUGCAAACCAUAAUAUGACAACAUCCACAUGUACUAUAAAGUAGCUUCUUCAACAUGUUUCAAUUCUUGUCCAUAUUAUGGUCUAAGAAUUGCAAUGAUGACAGCACAAGAGAAGAUUGUAUUGUAUGCAAUAAUUUUCCACACAUAAAUACAUAAUAGAAAAGUUUUACUCACUUCUAGGAACCUACCACAUACUUCUCUAUAGUAGAAAGAUCGCGUGUACUACAAUUGAUGAAGAUAUACAAUGAUGGUGGUUCAUCAGACUUCCAACGAUCUGCAUUUAUUAAGUAUGGAUAAAUCUUAAUUAGUCUAGUCACACCUAGCAAAAGGUCUCAGAUCCUAAUUCUUAACUUUGUUAUUCUUGCUAAAUAUCUUUUUUAGUAAAUAAUGAAAUGAGAGGUGCUACCACAUUUUUUUUCUUCUUCUUGUCAUACAAGAAAGGUACAUAUAGUGUUUGCAAAUAGUACAAACAAUAAAAAGACAAUGGGAAACCAUAACAAAGUGCCUUUGAAAAUAUAGAAAAAGGAGAAAAAGAAAACGUAAACAAUGUCAAAUAAGCACAUAGGUUUUUCACAUGAGAUGAAAACUGACCUUCAUUUUCAUCUGCAAAAUCAAAAUCCAACGUUCUUCUCACAGAUUUGAAGAAAUUACUCACAGGCCCGCCAGGUAUAUCAUCCAAAGAAGCAAUAGUUACACCACCAAUCUAAAAUAAAAAAGAUAUCUUUAAAAUAUGAAAAUUUCUAUUGCGAUACUGUAUCAAAAAUGGAAAAAAAACAUUUAACUACUGUAUCAUAUGUAACUGAAAAGAAAAUAAUCAAAAACUGAUAAUCCACUGUCACAUCAAUUGAACAUGAUGAUUGUUACUCUGAAAGGAAAUCAUACUGUUUCAAGAGCUGUCCGAAAUAACUGAGAAGCCCGGCGCUUUUCUGGCUGAUCAGGAAACACCUAAAUCUCAAUCAACAAAAGAAUAAAAAUGCCAACGAGGACGAGUUACUUAUCAUUAUGAAAUAUAGUAAUAUUCAGUUAUUUGUGAUAAUUAUGUUUAUGUCACAUGACUAAAAGAAUCAUAAUCUGUUGUGAUGUUCAUCGGCCAUUUACUUUUUCAUGCUUUUACAUAAGGCAACAAUAGUUAUUUUUGUCCAUACAAAAUAAAAAUAAAAAGCUUUCCACUUACAAUGCAAGACCUGAUUCCUUUCAUCUCUUGCAAGUUCCUUACUAUUGCAAGGGCCAGCUGGAUAUUAGCAUCAAUAAAUUCAUCUGAAGAACCCUGCAGUAAAUAGGAAGCAUAAAAAAUCGAAUUCUACAGUUGUUUUUUAUUUUAUGCCUAUAUUUUUACCAAGCAUAAUAUGAAGCUUUCACUGAUUAAUUUCAUCAAUGAUAUGAGAGAGCAUCUCUUAACAAUGUUAAGUACUCAUAAUAAAAAACUUCUUGAUUAGAAGAAUUUGUUCAAGUUAAUUUACCUUAAGAAUAUUGAAGGUUGUAACUAGGUAUUUUCGAGAUUACAAGCAAUGGAGGUAACCAGUGUGUAGCAUUAAUGAAUAAAAAUUAUUCAACUGGGAAACAUCCAAGAUGUUACACAUUGGGUUUUUGAACAUAUGCGUCCAUGCUACAAUGUCUACCUUGUGAGAUUACCACCAUAGCGAGUGCCAAGUGAAGAGAAAAUCCAUUUACACUAGUAAAAUUUAACAUUAGUUAAUUGUGGUUUCAGCCAUCAGAUUCCCAACAUCUAUUUAGCUAAAUAAACAUUGAUACUAAAGAUCAUGAAUAAAUUAUAAAGAAUCAUAGGUACCUUGUAAGAAGAUAUAUUGCUUGGUAAGGGCCUGCAUACACAUCCAAUUAAAACAUGAAAACGGAGAAAAAAAUUUAAAAAGCAAAGAUCAGAAGAAAUAAAAAUGACAAAAAUCUCGAGAAAAAACAUUCUCUGCUGUGAAAAAGCAUUAAAAAUAAACAAAAAUCCAGAUUGAAGGAAAGAUAGAACCUUUAAUCAAUUAGCAUUAAAAGAAAAGCUUCUACUCCAUGUAUAGCUCCAUUAUAGUUCAAACAAAUCAAAGAACGAUUCACAGAAUUUUCUUCUAUAAACCAAUCAUUAAGCUAAAGGUCAAUCCAAGCAACAUUUACAAGGCGAAAGAGAACUGAAACUAACAAUAAAUUGAUCCAAAUGCUGUCAAAACGCAAAAAAAAAAAAAAAGGAGAAAAGGAUAGAGAUGAGGAAUUAGGGCUAAUCAAAGUAUAGCCCCAUUAUAGUUCAAAUCAAAGUACGAUUCACAAAUAUUUUCUUCUAUAAACCAAUCAUUAAGCUUAAAGGCCAAUCCAAGCAACAUUUACAAGGUGAAAGAGAACCGAAACUAAUAAUAAAUUGCUCCAAAUGCAAACAAAACGCAAAAAGUUAGGAGAAAUGGAUAGAGAUGAGGAAUUAGGGCUAACGGGAACUCGAUCUCGAGACGCGUCUUCCCAUCGUCGAGGGCGUAGACGAGGGACCGCGCCGCGUCGGCGACGAGGACCUCGUACGACCGGGGCUUGUACACGGCAACCCCGGCCCUGGGGUCGAUCCCGAAGGAGGCGCCAUCUGAGCGCUUCGCGAGUGGCUUCAACGGCGGAGCGCGGAGCGGGCGCGAGGGACGGGGAGGAGAAGGGCGGAGGAGCGGGGAUCGGUGGAUAUGGAGGAGGAGAGGUGGAGUGCGAAGGAGGUGAGCGGAGGAGCGAGAGGAGGAUGGGGGAGCGGAGGAGAAGGACGAGGAGGAGAGCGAAGAGGACGCCAUUGGCGAAGGAGAGAAGAGGACGAGGGUAAAGGGAUAAGCGUUCGACGAAGAUGAACCGUUGGAAAGGGCAUGUGCGACGGAGCGGGAAAAUGGGCGGUCCGGUUCGACCGGGUUCAGUUUCCUCCGGUCCGGUCCGGUCCGGUCUAUUGGGUUAGCAACUUAGCAUUUCUCUUUCUCAUCAAAUUUCACCUCAUACCACCCUACACAAUGCUGAGAACAAAAAGAGUCACAAAUGAGGAUCUUUGGCAAGCACAUAUUCCCUAGACAGAUACUGCUUUUGGGUUCUGGGUAUCUUACAUUCCUCUCCAUUCAUACUCUACUAUGUUGUGCUACACCUUAAUCAUAUUCAGAGUACUCUUUUAUCUUCAAACAAUCCUCUUAUUCUUCGCCGUUUGUCGUCGAAAACACGCAGGCUCGUCUUCUUAGGAGCCACCACAUACGACGUGCACUGCUCCAUCAAGAACAACGAGAAUCCCCCCACGAAGGAACAAAUUGAAGCGCUCGAGGAUUACCUCCGAUCCAAGAGGCCCCCUCCCCCUCCCGCCUGAAUCAUUAGCCAUGUAAAGUCCUCUACUUGAUGUCGAAUCUUUUCGCUAUCUGCUUAAAUAAGUGUUUUUACGUGUGAAUGUGAAUGCUCAUGACAAGUGUUUGAUGAUAUUCCUCAGUGAACCUCCUUACUGAUCUGGAGCUCACAUUGUUGUAUUGUGGUCUAGUAGUUAUAAUUUUUAGGAUAAUAGCAUUCAAUCUACAAAUGAUUGGGCAUAUCAUUGUAGGUAUCUAAUCAUUCUCCGUCUACCAACUGCUGCAAGAUUCUCGAGUAAACAAAAGAGCUUCGCAAUGGAUGAUGUCUAAGCAUCCGAACAGACAUUAAGAGUUUAAAAUCCAUUUGAACAAUCUAAAUGGCUAUUUGAGAUAGGGAACUUAGCGAUGAAGUUUUACAAAAUGGCAUGUACCUUGGAAUAGUGUUUCGCUGCCUUGCGAAGAAGUUAAUAUCUGAAUUUGAAUAGGAGAGAAACUUUUCCUCGAUUAGCUUCCCUGUAAUUUAUCUUGAAACUAAGCAAACCAUACCAAAGUUUCAUAAUUACCUUAUCCCACACAAAUCGUUUAUGUGUAACUAUUCUAUAUCCUUACGAAAAAACCAAUCAAGGGUUUCUGGGGUCGAAUCCAGAGAAAAGGCGGUUCUAAGAAAAUUCUUACAAAAAGGAUUAAAUCCAGAUAUAACGGACUGAGUUGAUCAUUAUCAUGAUCAACUGAGCCUCCAAAUAACACCCAACUGAGGCUCUGAAUACUUCCUAAUUUUAUGUAGAAAUGAUCAAGUUAUACAUCGUUACAUGGAUAUAUAGAGAGGAACUAAAUGUGAGAAAUAAAUCAUGUGAUGUAGCGGUGAUUUAGCACAAGAUCGCAUACCAAAAAAGUUAACGAAGUCAUAUUCCCUGUGGACCAUGUUACACUUGUUCCUUCUCACUCACUAGUUAUAAUACCCCUACUAAGCUACCGGAUUUGCUCAAUUCCACUACUAUAUCUUGUCACCUAUCCAUUGAGAAACAAAGCUUUAUACGUCACUGAUACAUGGCUGUACAGUGGAAAUGGAAAUUCUCUGCUCUAACUCAGGCUUUUCGAUAAGCUCGACUCCUUCACAGAAUAAGGUGGAAUUAGUGACCUCCCAUAUGCUAUAGGUAGCGCCAUUAACUUCUUUGCUUUGCUAACAUACGCCCUCUUUGUGAAGUUAUUGUAGUCAUUUGCCUCAAUCUCGUCAAGGAUCUGCCGAUAAAGUAAGAGAGAAGCCCACACCUGCAACACAGCAUGCAGUAGCCCUGAAAGAUUAGCUCAUAAAACUUAUUAGAUUUUGCUAACUAAGAAUCUGUGGCAUAAUAUGAUCGGCACGGUGAUCCUUUAUAUUAUCUAAGAAUUCUUUGGAGAAAACCAUGAAUUCAUCUCAUUCUUUAGAAAGCAUGCUUCACAACUUCAUCUGUUACUGUCACUUUUGCUCUCCUUUAUCUCUAUAGCUUCUUCCAAUGAUUAGCUUGCUAUGAUUUCCGCUGUUCCUUUCAAAUCUCUGGACAUUCUAAUUUUAUCAAGCUUUCAUACUAGAAUUAUUCUUUUAUUCUCGUGCGUGUGUGGCACUUGUUUAGAGCUUCUUUAUCUAACCUGCAAAUUAGAUUACUGAUGUAGAUUUUCUAAGUGCAUUAGACCAUAUCUGUGUUAACAGACAAUAAGAAUUAAAAAUAACUCACGAAUGUGGCGUUAUUAUGUCAUAUUCAAUGAAAUUGUAAAAACUGAAUUUUCUAUUAGAUUUAGGUGAAGCUCUACUGUCUAUGAAAAUGCAUAACGGUAUCAAUCUAAGAUAAAAGAAAAGAGUAUUGAGACUUACUGGCCACCUACUAGCUUGACUGAGCUCAGUAACGCCUUUCUCUGCUUCUUGGAAGAACAUCCUGGCUCUCUCAAUUUGGCUUCUCAUGAAGCCCCUCCAUUUAUCGUUCACCCUUCCAUUGAAGAUAUCCUCGUCCGAAAGCCCAUACUGUGCGAGCUCGUCUUGCGGCAGAUAGAUCCUACCUCUUCUCGCACUGAGAAAUCAAAGUUUAGGGACUCGAUUGCCAGAAAAAGAAAUCCUCGAGGAACUUUACAUAAAGGAGAUGCCUUAUGAAGUUUUUCACUUACUCUUCUCCAACAUCCCUUAAUAUGUUGGUGAGUUGAUUCGCGAUGCCUAACGCCAGAGCUGCGUUGUAGACGCUCUCUGUCGUAGCUUUAGACUCUGGUGCGAUACCCAUCACAGGAACACUCACUAGCCCCACCGUUCCUGCUACGUAAUAGCAGUAGAGAUAGAGCUCGUCAAAAUUUUUGUAUCUUGACUUCUUAAGGUCCAUUCGCAUCCCUUGGAUCAUGUCCUUGAAUGGCUGAGAUUGCAACGGAAACCAAUCUAUGAAUGAAAAAGCUAUGAACAAAGAUGAAAGGCCCCAUGCUAUAAGUCGUCUGGAAACAGAUCCUUGAUGUUUAUUCAUUUUGGAUUUGAAACCUUCAAAGAUUUAGAACUUAAAAGGAAUGAUCUGUAAUUAUCUUUCUUGCUGUAACCUUUAAAUUCUGAUGCAACCUGAAGGAAUUUUCUGAAAUUGAACAACACAAGUUUAAAGUUCAAAUCCAACAAAAAAUACUUCACAGAUCUGUUUUCAAAUGACAGAUGGUUAGGCCAGUGUCUAUACAUUUUUGCCGAAGUUAUGAGUACUCUUAAGAUUAGGAAAUGUGCCUGAAUAUCAACAGGGAACUUCACAACAGUAUCUGAGAGAGCAGCAUCGAGCAUGUCGUAAGGACGGCCUGUGAACAGAUCCUCCAAGCGCGACUCCCAUCGAUCGAGAGCUGAGGGCGUGAUGUGAGAGGCAUUAGGCCCGUCAACAAGUUCAUCUGUUCUCCUGCACCACACUGGAUACAUGAUCCACUUUAGAUCUUCGAAAUUACAAUUGAAGAACCUUUUUCUAAAGGUAUCAAACUAUUGGAUUGGAUGCUAGUAUGUUACCACAAAAUCAUGAUUAAGAAAUGCGGCACAUGAAUUUGAUCAUCACAUGGAAGGUACCAAAAUUAUCUGACACGUGAUUUAUGCGGUGAAGUAUUAAAGUGACUUGAUGAUCUUUUUAAGUUUCUUGUGUAAUAAGUUAUAUAUUGAUUUUAUGCUUAGGACAAUUAUUGUUUAACCAUUAGACAUAAACAAAGUUGAGUGUGUGUCUUCAGCUAUGGGAAAUCAAUCAUUAAACAAAACUAGACAAACAGCGACUUCGUUUUAAAAUUGAUGGUUUCUGCAGAAAAAUGUAUCAGAAACUAAGUAAAAUAUUAAAAUCAAAGAGAGAGUAAUUAAUCUAUCAAGUAUUGUGGUAAUGUACCGUAAAUCGCCCAAAUUGCUUGCCGCCUUUCAUGGGUCAUAAGAAGUGUUCCUGAAAUAAGAUAAAUUCUAGCUCAAUUAUACAUUCUAAAUUUAAAUUUCUCUAUUAAGGUGAAUAACUAUAAGUUGGACUUUGAACUAACCCAAGUAGAAGGUCUUAGCAUACUCUGCGCAUACUUCCCCGCACCGAUCAUAGGCUUCCUUCAAUACAUUCGUCGAGUCAGAAAUGGACAACUCCAGUUUCACAUCGAGCUCGGGCCUCAAUCCCCUAUUCACCAACGCGGCCUGUUUGAGCACCACAUCAUACACCUUCUGCUCCGAGGAAGUUGCGACCUCUCCUACCUGGUUUGCGACUAAACUCGAAUAUACCUGGAAAUUUCGCCUAUCCUCUAGCUUGAAACCCCCAGAGGAGUGCUUGGAGUGAGCAUGCAUUGAGCACAAAUUCCAUUUAGGCUUCUUUCUGUGAAUCUUCUUAUUGUAUCUUGGACCAUAAAGUUUAGCGGAAUUAUCCGACAGAUAAAAACCUUCUCGAAUCGCCUCUGAGAGUCCGAGGACAGUAGCCAUUGAAGGAGGAUUCAGGAGCACGAAAACGACCUUCGAGCUUCUCGAGGGAUCUUCUAAUUGGAUUCAGAAAGGCUUGUAACAGCAAAUUGAAUCCUGGUUUGUGUGGGAUCACUGCAAGAUUCCAAAUUAUUCUUCAAUGAAUCUCAUCAUGAUAAACUUCUUUUACCCAUGUAACAACAUAGUCAUUAUUGAAAAUUUAGCACUGUACACAGCAGAAGUAUAGAGAAAGCAACAUACUGGAAAAAGAAGACCCAAAAUGAGAACAAAUCAAAGUUUAAAGAGAUGCUCUCUUUUCAUAAUUUAACAACUAAUAGAACCCAAAUAUAGGUAUAUAUUAUAUUUUAAAGGUGCACCCAUGUACUGAAGAUGGGUGGGGAGGAUAUGUUUCAGGGGCACUAACCUCUUACCAUUUCUCCAUCAUUCUGUGAAACAUGUAAGCAACAGCAAAAACUCCAAAGCUCUUCAAUACAUUAAUGUCACAAAGAGAGAGAGAGAGAGAGAGAGAGAGAGAGAGAGAGAGAGAGAGAGGGAGCUCUUGAAGACAAAAACUUAGCCUUCCUGACUCUCUCUCCUCUGCUCUCUGAGUGCUCUUUCUGCUCUCUCCUUGGUGGGUGGUGAGAAAGAAGUUAUUGCCUGCACUAAGUAUCCUACAUCUCAUUAAUCAUACUCAGUAUUUGAUAAUUAAUAGGUUAAAAUAAAGGAAAAACUUCAAAUACCUCCUUGGGGUUUCACUCUUUUUCACUUUAGUAUCCUGUGGUUUAAAGUGUAUUAAGUUAGUAUCAUGUGGUUUCGCACUUUCUCACUUUAGUAUCCUAUGAUUUAAAGUGUAUCAAGUUCGCACUUUCUCACUUUAGUACCAUGUGGUUUCAUAUUUCAUUAAGAGAAAAAUAAAAUCACAGGGUAUUAACUUGAUACAAAAAUAAAACCACAGAGUACUAACUUGAUACAUUUUAAACCACAGGGUACUAAAGUGAGAAAGUACGAAACCACAGGGUACUAACUUGAUACACUUUGACCCACAGAGUACUAAAAUGAAAAAAUACGAAACCACAGGAGGGUUUGGAAGUUUUUCCUAAAAUAAAACUACUGCCACUGAGUAGAUCAGUUAGUUAAUGCCCUCAACACUGAGAGUUAGGUUUUCGGCUCAAAUCUUAGCAAGUUCGUGUAUUGUGCAUGCAUAUGCGUAGGCAUGCGACCAUCUUCAAAGAGUCUUAAAAUUAAAGAUUCGACCCCCCCCCCCCAUGUGAGCUAGAAUUUGGAGCUCAUGUCUCUGAAUUUGUAUUAUAGUAUCUUAGAGGUUUCUAUGGAAUAAGAAAAGGAAUUUAAAAUCAAUUAAAUUAGUUCUUUUAAUUAUUCUUGGAUUAAAUAAAAUUUCUCAGACAAUUUAGGAAAGGGAUGAAAUAGUCUAUUCGUUAAAAAAAAAUUUCAGUAGGUGAGGAUGUUUCAAAACUAAAUUACGCGAAUAAUUUAAAAAAAACACAGGAAGUAAUUUGCAAUAUCAGGAUAAUACAGGAACUAUACCUACAUUUUACUUUAGGAAAAUAAGUUGCCAAGUUAUUUAAUUAGUGUUUUAGGAGUGCGGUGCAUGGUGCACCGGGCGCAUGCAAUAAUAAGGGAAAAGAGGGGCCGGGGAGGCUUGAGGAUUGAGAUGUGUGGACACGUGGAGGGGCCGGGUCCAAUUGGGAUGGAGAUAGGGUUAUCACAUGGAGACAACCAAUACCGUUUCGCCACGUGGCAGGAGAAUCCGAGUGGGGGGCGGUGGCGGGUGUCGACGUGUCACUGGGGAGGAGCGUGGGUCCCACGAAAAGGUCCCCAAUUCCAGUGCCUCACACGGGCCGUGGUGGGGACCGCAUAAUGCGACCGCACCUCUCUCUCUCUUUCUCACCCCACAAAACACGGUAAGGCUAAUAUAAUAAUUUUAUAUUAAAAUUUGUACUUUUUAAACAAAAUUAUUUUAACAAGUUAUAAAGUAUGUGAUUAGACUAGUUGAGUGUACUUGUAAAUGUAUUUACACGUAACAAUUAUUUUAAUUUAUUUUAAAUUAAUAUAAAUUUGUAUAUUAUACUUUUUAAAAAUUUAUAAUAAAAAUUAUAUUUUAUAAAUUCAUACAUUAUAUUUUAUUAGAAAAUAUUUGUAAUAUUCCAUAUUUUUUAUAAAUAUAUUAAAUAUUUUUUAUAUAUUUUUCGAUUUCUAAUGAUCUAAAAUUUAAGUAUGUGUUUUAAAAAAAAAAACAUCAAAAUUUAAUUCAUAUUUAUUUUAAAAUUUAAAAUUUAGUUUUGAUCCACUAUAAUUAAAAUAUUUUAUAUUGUAUAAAUUCAUACGUUAUAUUUUGUCAAACUUUAAUUCAUGUUUAUUUCAAAAUUUAAAAUUUAAUUUUGAUCCACUAUAAUUAAUUUUUUUUAAUUAUUAACUCAAAUUUGAUAUCAAAAAUUAAAUUUAAUUCAUGAUUUUAAAUUCAAAUUUAAAUUUUAAUGUAAAACAGAUGAAUAGGAAUGUUAUUUUAUAACAGAUUGUCGUUCAUUUUUAUUUGAAAUAUUUUUAACAAAUUGAUCAUAACUGUUCGUGGGAUUAGAUUUAUAAAUGGAUAUAAAUGCUAUUUUUUGACAGAUUAAUCAUAACCGUUUGUUUGUUUUUAUUUGAGAUAUUUGUGACACAGCGGCCCCCUUUUUUCCUUUCUUUUUUUUAUUAUUUUUUUUGUUAUUAUUAUAAGAUGUUUUUGUUCGGCUUAUAGCAGGAUUCGAAGUCGAUAUUUAUUUAUUUAUUUAUUUAUUUUUGCAUGGAGUAUCUAUCUGAAACGAGAUGCAUCAGGAUUGUUGGGUGAUUGGCUGAUCCAACGGCCCUUAAUUAUUAGCAGUUCUCUUCUUAUUCGAUACGGUGCAAAAAUAAAAACUCUCAAACUGGUAACAAUGAAUUAUUUAUCAUUAAACUUGAUAAAAUCAUUAAUUCAUUUAAUAGAAGUAACUUAAGUAAUAAUCAUUAAAAGUUAAAAGAGAAGUGAAUAUAAAAAAUAAAGAUUAAAGAAAGUAGUUUUUUUUUUUUUUUUUAACUUAAUAGCUUGAGCUUUUACAGGGGAAAAAGUAUUUGUUUCUAUGUUAGGAAUGUGAAGUAAAGUAACACCUAAUUAUUCUAUAUCCCAUUAGCCCUUUAAUGGACUUCAAAACAUUAGUGGGAACAAAAAGUCAACUCCUAAUUCAUAGCUUGUUAUUUCUUUUUUGUGUUAUCCUAGAUUGCUUCUUCCUAGUGAUGGUUACAAUAAUGCAUGAUUGCAUAUAGGUGGCAAAAGAUAAGUGUAAAAAUACUAAAAUAGCAAUGCACUUUUAUUGUAUUAGAUUCUUUUUACCUGAGUGCUUGCCUUUUCUAGUAGCUACAUUAGUGUAUAGCACUUUUCCUACACUUAUCCACAAUAAGAAAUGACUACUUUUUUUAGGUAGUAGAAAUUAACCAUUUUGACUAACAUAAGUGCUUCUCCUUUUAUCUUUAGAUAAUUUUUCUUUUGCUUAGUUACUAAAUGUACUCAUUUCAUGUAGAAUUAUAUUAUUUCCUUUCGAAAUAUGUUAAAUGAGUAUGAUUCGAUACACAAAUAAUAAUAUUCGAACACGAAACUUCUUGUAGAUAGCAUUGUGGUGCAUGACACAAUAAUGUAAACAAAUAUUGCUGCAGCUUUAUUUUUUUACAUUGCAGCAACAUUACAAUCACAAACAACAUGUACAUGACACUGGUAAAGAAAAAAAAAAUGAAAAGAAAGAGAAAAGAUCAUCUCAACUAUUAUAAAUCAGCCAAUAAUCAAUCUUGAUGCAAUAAUCUCGGCUCAUGAAUCAGAUCCAAUCUCUUUUUUCUCUCCUUCAAGAUUCACCAACUGCUGCUUCGGGGAUUGGCAGCUUUGGCGUGAGAAAGUCCGUCAACACCCUGUAGAUCAUUUUACAGUUGUAAAAGAUUUUUUUCGUAUAUAUAUAUAUGCCCGUCAAAAUGCGCAUAUUUUCUUCUUUUGUAUUUUUUGGUCUCCUUACCUCUGCAGUCGCGACUGCGUGCGUCUGCAGCAGUGAAACAGUGAACUUCAGUUAGUUACGUCCCCUUGGUUUCUUCAGUAUAUUGCGAAAGAGUGGGCACACUUGCCUUUGCUUUGGCGGUACUUUUGGAGUGAUACUUAUCGUGCCGUUCUGGCUCACGGUUGGUGCCUGUGGUAUUUGAUCGCUCACCGUAGGCACUGUUUUCGCCUGAAAAAGUGUUACAGUUUAGUCACGGUGUUGAUUAAUUAUAUGUCAGCAUUACUUAAUGGAUGGUAAAUUGCUCGAAAACCCCACCAAUUUUCUGAACUGGAGGUUGUAGAACAGCUGGAGAUAGCGCUGCUUCGCGAACUUCUCCUCCUUGUUCAGCUGCCUCCAGAAGCCGUAAAUUGAUCCCAUAUUUAGCACUCUUGUGGCAUAGAUCUUCCAUGUAUAGCUGCGACCGUAAAUAAAUAGCUCGUCAGGAAACUUUUAGUCCUUCAAGUUCAACCCCAGCUUCAAUUAUGUCGUCAGAAUUUCAGAAUUUCAAAUUGUGCUGUUGUUUGAUUCGGAUAUAAAUUGCUUGGAUCGAGGGACUUAACCCAAAAUGAAAUGAUAGAAGUGGAUUCAUCGGUCUCAAUCUUUUACCAUUCAUAGAUACGUUGCAGCCCGGCAGUGGAAAUCUUGUUCCAGUAACUUGGAUCAUCCCUGCACUUAGUAAAGAAAUCGGCAAUCUUAUUGCUCGUCUCAUCCCCGUUGUACGGAUCGAUGUGGAAACCGGAGACCCCGUCCACGAUUAUCUCAGCUGGCCCUCCUUUGUUUGUUGCAAAUGUCGGGAGGCCGCAAUUCAUCGCUUCAAUCACGGUUAGCCCGAAUGCUUCAUACAAUGCAGGCUACGACGAAAAUUACACAAUUUAGUCCCUUUCAGUAGGUUAUUUGAUAAACAAUGAAAUACUAAAGACUUAGUGUUAGAAAAAAUUGAACUCCUAACCUGAACAAAUGCUCCCUUAGUGUCAGCGAUACAUCGGUACAGCUCGCCGUUCCGAGCCCGAUCAGUUUGCGCGGCUAUCCAGCGAAUCUGACCCGCUAGUUGGUACGUUUCGAUCAACGAGUGCAUCUUUUUUAUUUCCAUGAUCUCCUCCCUGUCCUUCGAUUUUUCCGGGUCCAAAAGGCCGGCCACCACCACAAGGUUCGCUAGGUCCCUUAGCCGCUUGUUCUUCCCGUACCAUUCUACCAAUCCGGAGAUGUUCUUCACAACGUCGAGCCGCGCCAUCGAGAAGAUGAUCGGCUUAUUCUUAUCUUCUAGGUACCCUCUGCAUGAAAUGCAGAUUUCGAUAUCUUUCAGGAGGGGUUUCUACAUUUAAAUCCUAAAGAGAUGUGCAAAUGAAGGAUAGUUUGAGGCCCUACAUGUGUUCGUCAUUGUCAACUUUGCUGUAUAAGAGCUCCUCGAUGGCGGGGUGGAAUUGCGUGAGGCGCUUCUGCUUCUGUGUGAAGGGGAAGUAGACCGUUUGAUCGGCUCCUGGAGAAGCUAUGUUGAACUUUGGGUCGAAAACGUUGAUGCCCGUCGCGUAGCGGCAUAGGCCUGGCAUUGUGAAUGCAUAGUGGCUCUCAUAUUGACCAACCUUAUCCUUACUGCAAGUUUCGAGAUAUCAAAUUAGUACCUAAGAAUAUGGUGGCUUUCCUAAGAAGCACAUAAAAAUUUGUUACUAGUAUUGACCUUCCGGCGAUUUCUUGGUAUGUGCUCGUGAUAAUGAAAUCGCUGGUAUUCAUCGCGAUCAUAUCGGCUGUGAAUUGGCACGAGAAAUGGUACUUGUGAUCCAAUUCCUUCCAAUGAACAUCAGAAUCUCCGUACUUGGUCUUUUCGAGAGCGUGCGCGAUUGUUCCCUUGUUGUUUAGAUUGUUUUAGAACACAAUUAGAUUGCGUUUAUAGCAGAAUAAAACAAUUUACUGGCGUAUAAAAAUUUGAACUACCUGAGUGAUUCCUAGUUUCGAUGAGAUUAGAGACGCGACCAAAUUUCCGUCGGUGUAAUUUCCGAUGAUCAAAUCCGGUUUCCCCUCCAAGUAAUCAAUAAUUUUAGCAGCAGCUUCCUGUAAUUCAUCAGAAAUCAUUUACUCAGAACAACAACACAUAUAUACCCCUAAAACUAUUUGUUUCUGCAUAUCCACUUUACAAUCUUAGUUUCCUGCAUAUAAAUAUCUGUGUUGUGUCGAAAAUGGUCCCUCUUUGAAAAUCCUUAUAUGAUAAAAUACUAAAGAUACUUCUGCGAUUUUACAGAGGUAUGCAUAUUCAGAAAGGUGAUUUUCGCAGAAAAGUCGCAUAAAAUUCAAACUGAGUCACACACAUACCUCCGCAUAUCUCUCGAGAUAGGGGUAGAUAUCAAAUCGCGAGACCCACUGGUUGAGAAUUCUGUUCUCCGUCCGAAACGGCACGCGGAGGAUGUGCGAGUGCUUCGUGUCGUGCACCGGCUCGAGCUCUUGGUCGCAUUUCGUCCCCUUGGCUUCCGGUAUCAGCCUUGUUAACUGUAUCAACAACAAAGCAUUAAGAUGUUAUUCUCUCCAUUUAUUCAAAACUUUAGUUUCAUAUUGUUUCAGUAAAAUAUCGAGGACGAAAACUUUACCACAAGAAUCUGGGGAGUUAUAUUCAGGCCCUGUUGUUUGAUUCUGAGGAGCAAUUCCUCUUCAAAGGCUUUUACUUGGUCUAGAAUGUAAACAACCUGUUCAGAGGGAAAAAGAAAAAUCAAAUUGCUUCAAAUGUACCCCUGCAGAAUUAUCUAUUUAUACAUAAAAUUCAUGUAAAGUUUGAAUUAUCAAGCAUGCCUCUUAAAAUUAUAAAUAUAUGGUUCUUGCAAUUUUUGUUGGAUUUUUAGUACCUGGCCGCCAGUGUCGGGCAAUCCGAGCACGUCUUCUUGCCCAAAGUAGCCGUGCACGGAGAAUACGACAAUAUUGAAAAUGUUAGGGACUCUACUGAAAAAUUUCUCCAUAUUUGCAGGGUCUGGUGCCUGAAGCACUUCUGAUAAGCAGUUCAGUGUCUCCUUAACUGUUUCUGCAUUAUCCCCCCAUCCUUUCUCCAAACCCCACUCCUGAAACCUGCCACCAAAAAUAUAUAUAAAAAAAAAAUUCAGUACAGUUUUCAUUUUAGUUGCUAAUUUUGAUGUCUUUUUUGUUGAUCAAAACCUUUGUUCGAAUCGCUGGAACGGUGUGUUCUUCGGAAGCCCGCUGACGAACACUUCUGACAGAAGCAGCACAGUUUGGAGCUUGUUUACGGUGUCGAUGGCAUUAUUUAUCAUCAGUUUCUGAGAAUGAAUUCACAAGAAGAAAAAAAAAAAAAAAGAGAGAGGAGUUUUUAGUUGUAAGAUUCUCCUGAACAAAUUGGAUAUGAUAAGUUAAUCCAAAUCAGUUACUUCUCCGCGGUGAUUGAGCGCGAGUAAGUAGUCCAGAAGCGGUUUCAUGCUCUCGGACUUGUCGCCCAGUUUCGAAGAUAAGAAUCUCGACACGAACUGCAUUCCAUUCCCUACGGAUGAAGGCAGUGCUAGGAGAGGGGUUGAUAGAUUGAAAGCCCCGAAGUCGAUUUCCAACGCAUUCUCGUCCUUCGCCCUGCGAUUUUCACAUGUUCACAAGUAUGAAUUUUCGACCUUUUUUUACAGAUCAAACCGCAAAGGUAAAAUCAUUUUAUCACCAUAACUUCAUACCAUUUCUCAUCAAACAAAGUUUCUUUGUACUUUAGGUACUCUGAUGGCGUGAUUCCCUCGACCGAGAGAUCAUUGGAAUGCACCUUAACAUACUCCCAGAUUCCGGGCUGAGGCCUCACUGCAAAGGCUACAUAUGGAGGAAGGACUACUGCUUCCUGUCACAUUAUAACAGAGUGUUUAAGUUUAAAUUUAAACUCAUACAACUUUUUUUUGUUUGAUGAAAAAUAGGUGAUAUGAGGAGUUUUGAGUUCUAAAACCUGUGUGGAGCUAAUGAUGUAGCCAAGAAAACCUUCCAUGAGCUUCGCUUUCUCGAGUUCGUUGUCCACCGAUUUGUCGAGCUCGUCCAUCAGAUGUUGGUUCUUCAUAUACCUCUUACCCUUCGAGACAUACCUGAAGUUCGAUAACAAAGAUGGGAAUGUGAAGCAAUGGAUUUUCUCGAAAAGCUUAGGCUAUCAGAGAACGUCAGAAAGUUAAAUGAGAGAAUCAUAGUAUGAACUAAAAAAACUAUUCAUUUUUCACUCAUGUCACAUGUCUCAUUCGUUGAUGUCAUACGAAACAAUCGUUUUUUCCAAUGACUCUUUAAUGAGGAUGUCCUACGUAGGACGCGCGCUAUAUUACAUAUAAUAUUUUCUUUUUUUUGUUUUUUUUUUCUUUUAAUGCAUGUUCAGUUUUGCGAUUGUAACAAAACACAACACCUGGAGAAGAUCUUCUUCAUCUGAUACCGGCUCUGCCGCAGCGCUUCGGGCAUGCUGUCUGCAAUGCUAUCCGAUCUGCUGAAGCUAAGCGCGGCGGCCAUGGUCGGAAUAAACUGAACUAAUUUGAUCUGGAAAUGCAGCAAUGCAAAAGGAAAAAGGGAAACUAUAUGUGACUUGGGUUUAUUGCACCACAGGAGAGGUAGGUAUUUAUAGGACAAGGAUAUGGUCAUGUUAGUUGGAAUAAGUGUGGGGAUAAGAGUUGGAAUAAGUGGUUUGGUGGGGAAAGGUAAUGUUGUGAGAGGAGAAAGCACAUUGCUUUGAGGAAGUU
rnacentral:lncRNA from 1 species